CAGCGGGGGAGGCUGCGGGCGCGCGGGGAGACAGGCGGGCUGCUCCCGGCGGCAGGAGGAGAAGUUGCCACCCUUUCAGCUGUUCCGGCCUUUAUAAAGGAGAAGGGAGAGUGCUAGAGCCCACGUGGUUGGGGAGUCGUCUGCAGGGCCGCCGCCAGGACUCCAGACCCGCAGCCCCAAGGACGGCAUUUGCAUCCCGGCACAGGCAUAGGGGGCGAAGGACUCCGGCUCUGCAGCUCGGUUCGCAUCCCGCCCUGGCGCUGAGUAGCUGGGUCACCUUGGGCAAGUCACUUCCUCUCGGUGCUCUUCCAUCUAGUCUCCAAGCGGGGUAGGGUUAUUGCGAGGACUUCAUGCCCGAGAGGCCAAAAGGCACCCAGCCCCAAGCCAGCCGCACCAACCCCACAGCCGGCACCAUUCAGCUGAAAGCUGGGCCCGUGUCUCCGCCUCCUAGCUGGUUGCCUGGCACACAACGGGCGCUGCCAGCAUUGGCUGGAUUUGAAUUUGUUGAACUGCAAAGUCACACAAAUCCCCACAACCCUGCCGCAUCCUUGCAGGGCGGCCAUCACGGCUCCUGCAGCCACCCUCCUGUUUACUCCGCCCUCGGCCCCCAGGUUUGGGGACCCGGGGGGGGGGGGGGGGGGGGGGGGGCGGGGCACCCACGCCAGCAUUCACACGGUUAACGCCUUCCGCCCCCAGCUCCUCCGAGAGCUGCCUGCCGUGUCCCUGCCUUCAGCAGUCACACGGUCACAGUCACAGAGUCACACGCGCGCACGCCAAGCCCCGCACCCACCACGGGACCCGCAGGCUCGCUGCAUCGCCCGGCCCCUGGCUCUAGGACACCUUUAUCCGGUCCCCUUGCAGUGUCCCCGUCGCCUGCCCUUUGGACCCCACACAUCCCUUUGGGAUGCCAGCCUGCUCCUCGCACCUCGGACACGGAGACAGGCACCCCGCUGUCUCUUCAGAAGCCAUCUUCUUGGACCUAAGCGAGGGUGGCGCAGAGGAGGGAGGACUUCCCAGACGGGCCUCUUUACAGACAGCCACAAGCACCCACCCUCUGCCCGGUACCACCUAGGCAGCAGUAGCCGAGAGGUAGGCUGCGGGCAGGUCACCUUGGUUCAAAUCCCAGUGCGGCCCCUUGCUGGCCAAGUGUCCCUGGGAAGCUUCACCUCUCGCUACCGUGGUUGCCUCCGCUAUAAACUGGAAAUAAAUCUCUAAUUGGAGGGAGAGGAGGAUUUCAAGGAGGCAUGGGGAAAUUUUAGUGGCAAUAGGAAUGUUUGUCAGCUUUGCUGGUAAUGAUGAGUUUACGGGGAUAUACGCAUGUCAGAACUGAUACGUGCAGAGUUUAUUGUACCUCGAUACGGUUGCAGAAUUUUUAACUACCUCAUACAGUGGUCUGGAGGCUCCGAUGAGAUAAUCCAUCUGGAAGGACUGAGCACGACGCCUGGCACAUGGAGUGCCUCGUUCCUUCAACACAGAUUUUUGACUGUUCCCUGGUAGCCGGGCGCUGUUCCAGGCAUGGGGGGGGGGGGGACAGCGCAAUGCUAACGCGGGCUUCUGGCCUGGAGGAGUCCCGAUCCAGAAGAUCAUAGAAGUCCCGAUCCAGAAGAUCAUAGAAGAUCUGUCUGAUCAUCCAGACAGAUGCAUAAACAGAUAAAUUAGGAGACAGGGUGACAAGGGAGAUUGGGGGAUGGGGUGCGAAGAUAAUCCCAGAACACAAAACGGGAAGCCUAAAGACUUAGAGAUAAAACCACGGGGCCGCUAGGUGAUGUUGCCCUUGAUCUUCUGUAUCCUUGUCUAUAAAAGAGGUGAGAAUAGCUACCGUUAUUAUUGAGGUGACUGUGUAGCAGGCAGUGUUCUUACGCUGCACGUAGCGUCUCAGUGCUCCCGCGAGGGAUGUUACUCCUCUCUUACAAAUGGGGAGGUUGAAGCCCAGAGACGUUAAGCAGUUUGUUCAAGGUCACACAGCCGGUAAGCGACAGAGCCUGGACCUAAACCCACGUGUUCCAGCUGCAGAGCCCUCACGCCUAAGCCACCAUGCUGUGCUGCCUCCUGGCAGGUGACGGCUGACGAUGAUAAUCAUGACACAUCUUACACAGGGCUGUUGUGAACACCAAACGCGUUAAUAUACGUACAAGGGCUUUGCCGGCUGACGGGGCUGUGCCCAUAGGAGUUCUGACUGACACACGAAGGGCCGUAGGGGCACAAAGGAGGGAGCGCCCAGCUCAGCCUCAGGGAAGGGAUGCAAAGCGGGCUGGCUCCUGGGAGCAGCAUCACUGAGCGCCUACUGUAUGCCAGCCCUGUGUGGAAAUGUAAUAAAGGAGACCCGGAGCUGGCACUCUGGGACCUCCCAGGCUCUCGAGUGAGAUGGACAUACUCGGGACAAUCCAGGUGUCUUUGUGCACUGUUAGAAGUGGCAGGACAGGACAGGAUAGCAGAGGCCGCAGGGACCACAUGGCACCUGGUCUGAAUGCCAGGUACCCUUUCCUGUACCUUCUCCUUGCAGCCGCCAUGACCGCGUGGGCGUCUUUCCACACAAGCGGUUCUCUAAAGAACACCUCCUCCUCUUCCUCCUAUGAGACUCCACUUAGCACCUCCUCCAGGAAGCCCCCUGGGCUUGGUGCUGGCUUUCGGCUCCCACAGCACGUGCCCCGUGGUAUUGUCACGGCCCGUUUAUCGAUCUAGCACUAGAGACUGAGAUCCAGGUGAACGAGGACCUCAUUCCAGCUCCCACAAUACAGCAGUUGCUCAAUAAAUGUCUGCCAAAGGAAUGGA